AUGAGGUGCAGGUGGAGAGGAUCAGGCCCCUGGGUGCCUCACCAGCUGGAAGCAGUAAAGGGGCUAGCUGAGAGAGCAUAAGGGAGGUGGUUGGGGUGGCUUUAAUAGUUGGGAGGAAGAAAGGAUGACUGGAUGGGUCUUGCUUGUUAAAGCUGAAGGAUUGGGCUUUGGUUUUUGUUUGUUUUGUCUUUGUUUGAGGAAGGCUUGGAAUGGGUGAUGUGUUAAGGAGCUGGAAAGACCUGUGCCUGUGCAAGCCCAGGUUGCAGGGGCCUGACUAGUUCUCAGACCUUCAGAGCCAGGUGGACAGUAUCUCUGCUUACUGCCUCGCAGCUUGAAGUCAGGCCUGAACUGCUGAAGUGGGAGUUGCAGAAUAGGCUUUUGAAGCUGGGUGAAGAGACCUGGGAAGUCUGCAGUCUGCUGGAAGUUGGAAACUUCAUGGAACAGACUGACCAAAGAAUUGUCAGCUGUUGCUUAACUAAGGCAGUGGAAGAUGGACAGCCAUCCCAGGUGCCUUUGUAACAAGAGACCAGUCGCAUGCAACUGCUCUUCUCUCCAGCAGUGGGCCAGCCACCUGUUCCCCAAACCUUGGGACUUGUCAGGCUGUGAAGAGAUGAGCCUGCAGCCCUUCAGGGAUCAGGACUUCUUUUGCAGGCUUGGACAAAGACUUAAGAUGGUGCCCAAGAUGUUUUACCCUCGAGCUUUACUGACCACUUCAUGCUAAAAGGGGUGGUGAGUAUGGAGAAAUGUUGUGUAAUGAUGGGUCUUCUGGAAAUACAAAUAUGUGGUUGGAGGAGUGUAGGGGCUGUAGAGAGCUCUUGUAAGGGGUGGUGGGCACUGUAAAUCUGUGUUAGGAAUACGUGGGAAUGGUGGCGCACAGUGCUGAUGUCUCAGCAGUAUGUGCAUAGUGCUGAAGGAAAGGAACUGAGCAGUUUGUCAUGAGAGCGGGUGGUAGAGGAUGAGGUCAAGGAGGGAGAGCUUGAGGUGAAUUUGUGCUCCAGUGCCUCUUAAUGCCUGUGGAGUGGGGCAGGGCAUUCGGGACUGACCUGGAUGUCAUCAAGAGGGCCACAGGAAAGGCUUGGUUUGUUUUAUUCAUGUCCCGUGAACAGAGGGCUGGUCUUGCUACUGUUGGAUAGGUGUAAGGACUUGGCUGUUAAAAGGGCGCAGCAGUACACUAGACUGCUGAGGGAAGUUGUGGAGCCUUCGUCACUGGGGGUGUUGAAAAAGAGGUCGGGUAAACAUUGAUCAGGAAUGAUCUAGGAGUAACUGUGCCUAUGCUUUACUCUGCUUGUGUCUCAUGAGGCAACCAGUGAAGCCCAGAAGCAUGAGGCUGGGAAAGACUCUUUUCUUUGUCCUUUGCUGUGUGUUGUGGUAGGCAUGUUCCUUCCUCAGGAGCACUGAGCGACUGUCACCAAGGCUGGAGACUGCCAAUACUCCUUCCUCAAGUAAAACCUGUAGGUUUCUGGCUAGAGGGACUUGCCUCUUUGCUCAGGGUCAAGCUGGUCACCCAGUUUGAGGUCAGGAAGAAGUUUUACCCCUUGGUCAGAUGGGUACAGAUUGUGGGGAUGAGUGCCUUCUUGUAGCAGAGGCAUGGACCUCUUCCUUGUGUGCCAUUCAGCAUCUUUUAACAACCCUUGCAGAAGGAGGACAUGGGUUACUAUUGCCACAGGUGAAGCAAAAGGACAUCUUGGGGUCGUAUGAUUUGUGGGUGUGACAAUGCCAUUGGUUUAGUUCUAGUAGUAAUAUGGUGCUGUGGGUAGAGAUGACCCUGCCUUGGGCAGGGGCUGGACUAGAGGACCUCUUGUGGUCCCUGCCAGCUCUGUCUUUCCGUCUUUUGAGGAAGAAGUGGUACCCUGAUCAGAAUGCCCCUGUGGAGAAGGGGAUGAUCUGUGGAAGCCAUGCAAAGAUUUCACCAUGGGAUGUUGAGAGGAGGGAUGUGGGCAUGGUAAUGCAGCCAUCUUAAUGGUGAUCCCUACUGUGCCUUUAGGUUAUUCCUGCUGCCUCGCUAUUCGCUGCUCUUUGCCUUAAUGCUCUUUCUAAUGACAUGCCCCGUGACUUGUUUCUUGCUAGAGGAUGUUUUGAUCUUCAUGUAGGCUGUACAGCACGCUUUCUGCCUUCUAUUUUUUUAUUAAGAAAAUAUUAAAUAUUUCUUUAUCUCUCCACACCGCCUCCUUUUGUCAGUAUCUCACAAUUAACAAUAUCAUACAUGAAUCAAUAAUGCAUGACACAAUCGUGGGAACUUCCUGUCUCCUUUCUGCAUCACAAUUUCUUCACAAUUGGAUCACCAGAUCCUCCUCUUACAUAAUCAGCAAUGCAAUCCAUGACAAUACCUUUUGCUCUCUCAUACAGGUUCUUGGGACACUUUCAACGUUUAUAAUGCAUCCUGAUAUUUUACAAAAUCUUUCUCUGUGGUCUCGUAUUUCCCUUCUUUUUAUUUGCCUUUACCACAUUUUCCACACGUCUUUAUUUAUAGCAUACACAACUCGUUUUUGUUUCAGUAUUACUGUUUUCCUCACUUGGUUUUCACCUUCCCUGAUUCCUGACGCAUUUCCUUUCCCUACUUCCCGAUGCUUUUUCUUUCCCUCCUCUCUCUCCCUCCUUUUCUUUCCCUACCCUAUCCUGGUUGGCUGGAAUAAUUCCUGCCACCGAACGCCUUGCCAUGCCCUACUCCCUUUGCCCUUUUCUCCCUUUCCCUUCAUGUAGUCUUUAAUCUCAUAAUACCCCAGCUGUACACAUUCCCUUUGUGUAAAGCAUACCCCCUUCCCUAUCAACAAGCACCUCACUUUCCAUAAUGGCACCCUCAUCCCCAUCAAAAUCACCCGCACUUCCCAUUGCCUUUCUCCUUGUUUCACCGGUCCAUAAACCACGGUCUCAUAGGACACCCCCUGUGCCCACCCUAUCGCCCUUAGAAACUUCCCUACUCUUCCCCAUACCCUUCUUGCAGACGUGCACUCCCAAAAACCAUUUUCUUCCUUUGUACAGAACUCCCCCGGGCUUUCUGCCGAUCUCACCAGCCUCCAUCGGUGUAGUACUUCUCUGACUGAUAGCACCCGCCUAACUAUACACCACGCUAUUUCCCUGUGAAACCCUUUCCACCUUGUGUCUUCUAUUCCCCUCCAUACCUCUCUCACCUGUUCCCAUGCCAAAUUCCCCACAUCCGUUAACCCAUCUUCCUCCCUAAUUGCGUUGAAAAUUACCCUCGCCUUUUGUAAUCCUUCCAUCCCGUUUUACCAAACCUUUUGCCCUGACAAAUGCCGCCAGCCUAUCCGUGUGCUGUGAUGGUUUCCCUGCCCACAUGCCUGUCCACCUUUCUCCGAAUAUCCCCCAUUCCCUCAAAACUCUACCUCCCCAGUACUUUACCCAUUUCCCCACUAUUCCUUCCCCUCUCUGUGCCUCCCUGUCUAAUGCUGCCACCCUGUGCCCAUAUAUGAACGUUUCCAUCUCUGGAAAACCCCAUCCCCCUAGCUCCCCCGCUUUAUAAAGCUCCCUACGUGCUACCCUCUCUCCCUUACUUCCCCAGAAAAACACACACAAUUCCCUUUGUAUCCUCCUCGCUUGCCUCCACGAUGGAGGGUAUACCCACCCUAUGAACAGCAGGAUGGGUAAGAUCACAGACUUGAUUAGCUUUACCUUCCCUGUCUUAGACAAACCUCUCCCUCCCCAUAUUCCCAGCACCUUUUUUCCUCAUCCUAUUCUAUGCUUCUGGAGGAAUAGCACGUCCUUUAACUUUUAGUACCCUCUUAAUCUCCUCCCAUUUACCUCCAUCUCGGCAAAUUUCUCAUGUUCCACAAUAUUAAAUGCAUUCCCCUGUCUUACUCCCCAAGUGUCCUCCUCCCUCCCCCCUCAUACCUCCAUUUCUUCUCAACCCCCACCCUCCACAUCCCUGUUGCUUAAGCCUAGCUUCCAAUAGCUGAUGGGCUAUUAGAAAAGCUGCCCCCACCCAGACUCUCCUCCUGAUUUCACUCUUGCACCAUUUGUCAGUCUUGCUUCUUCCCCUAUAUCUUUUCCUUUCUCACUCCUCUUCUCUUGUUCUUCCCGUUUUUGCUUUGGUAUCCCCACUUUCACUCUUUGGUUGGUUGCAUGAUGUUUCCAGCAAGGGCUUUCCCUGCCCAACAGAAUUUCCAAAUAGUUACUUACACCAAUUAACCCCAUCCCCCUUGCACUCCCUGUCACUUUUUCUCCUGCCUCCCUCUCCUCUACUGUGGCUGUCCAUUGCUCUACAACAAUUUCUACAGUUGAUGUAGCUAGCUUCUCUACUUCCUCAAAUAAAUUCAUCUUUGUCCUGAGCUCCAGUACUCUCCCAGCCAUCUUCCUUCCCAUACUGAAUGUUUCUAUCCUCUGAAGGGAUACCAGGGACUUGCUGUCCCCUUCCAUCUUCUCUCCCUCCCGUUCUGACACUUCCUUCCUUAUGAGUGGGGGCACUCUUCAAAAUUGUGCCCCUCCUCCCAACAUGUUUUUGCGCAUUACUUCAGCCUUGCAUACCCCUGCCCUAUACCCCACCCCACAGCAUCAGCAACUUGUUGUCCAUUGACAAUAUGUUUCAAUGGGCCCUGGUCCAUUAUAUUUACUAUGUCACCUUGGUUGACCAAAAUAAUAGAUAUAUUCCCUAUGGGGACCCAAACAGAAGCUGGAAGGAAGAUGUUUGAUUCCUCAAUGAUCUCUCGCCACUCCAGCUCUCCGUGAACUGGUCCAUAUUUUGUUCUUAUUGAAAGCUCUGUCCACCCAAAGGACUCUCUUUUUCCUUUAGCCUCCAGACAAUGUUGGAUGUCCUCCAGUUCAAUUACAUCAUUGAACGUUCUUAAAACAGCCCUCUUUCAUGGGAGUCUGCUCUGGCUUGAAAGCGCAGUUCUGUUAAUUGUCUCUUCCAUGCUAAUUCCUCUGCAUGCCUCUCCCAAAAGACACUAUAUGCCUUCCUUUCCCUAAAACGUUCUGUCCCAGAUGCAAUAAUUUUCAUGUGCCACCAGGAUGCUUACAGGUUUUCUUUUAUUAAUAAGGUAACGAAUUUAAAAUGCCCAACCUCAACCAAACUUUCCACCUUGCAACACAAAACCCAACAGAACCAUCUCCAGAUUUAGAAGCAUCUACAACCCUUUAUCUUUCAGCCACAGAUACCUUGCACAACCUGGUUCCAUGUCACCUUACACAUUGGUAAGUCAUAUACCCAACAUGUUAAAGAUUUCUGUUAUCUGUAACACAUUUAACAAAAGUGUGUAUGUAUGUAUUUACAACUGGCUUAUCUUCAUCCCCACUGCUUCACCUCUUACACAUCCCUUAUCAUAAUCGUCAUCCCUCGACACCACACUUGCCGCCCCCCCC